UGAUUUUCUUCAACAGUUCCCAAGAUUUUUCCCACUCGUCAACUUCAAAUGAUUGAGUCUUGUUUCUCAAAUUCUCUCUGACGCUUGCUCUUCCAUUUUCAAUUCAAUUAUUAACCAAAGAACAACUCGAUAGCAUCAGCCCUGAUCAUUAAUUUUUCUUUGUUUUUGGGUUGAUGCUGUGUAGUGGCAAUAAAAGUCGUAGGUUUUAAUAUUUUUGCAUUGUCCUGUUACAGUUACUUUAAAUCUUUGAACCGUAAGGAAAGGAUAUAUAUCCUGGACUUAAGCAUUAAGGCAGGAAUGGAAUAAUGAAUGAGCAAUAAUUUCUCUUUCUCUAAACAAUCUUCCUUCUUCUCAUUCCCCUGUUCUUCUAUUUUUCUAAUAUUAUCUGAUUUGUGCAUCAGUUUAUACAUUGGCCAAGAUGAGGCUCAAUUGGGAGCUCAAAAACUGCUGUCACCAUGACCAAGUUGUGUUUCCUGUUACCGUCUCUGUCUGCGCUGUCGUUAUACUUGUGGUCUGAAUCUUCUCAAUUAAUUCUUUCAGCUGCGGAGGACGGUGCUGCUGAGACCCUUUAAGCUUGUGACAUUAUUUCUUCAAGAGGCUAGCCAUGCAAUUGCCUGUAGACUUACAUGUGGUGAACAUGCAGGUGGCAGGGAUCCAGGUUCAUCCUGAUGAAGGUCGAAAGACAACAACACGUGGUGGCAUAUACUGGUGUAUAUUGCCGGCCGGGUGUAAUUUCUCUUAUCCUUUACUGCUUUGCUCAUUUUGUUAUAUCUUUAGCUCAUAUCUAACAUGGACACUACAAUUCCCAAAUGUAUUUCCAGAUUGCAUCCUAUUCAAUGUUAAGAUCUGAAACUUCAAAGGGCAUUGUACUUAUUUGUCAGAUCUUGGUUCAUCUUUCUGGGGAAUGUUACUGAUACUAGCAUCCACAAAUCUUCUUACUGCAAGAAUUGCUGCUGGGUGCUUUAUUGUUGCUUUGCUUGUGGCACUUGGUGUAGCUGAAAAUGUAACUAGUGUAGAUACCUGACAAAUUUAUGUUCUUUCUAUUCAUGUCUUUUCAUCUGUGUAAGACACUAUAAUUUCUGAAGGCAGAAGAUACAUGGGAUCUUUAUGGAAACAUAAUCCACAGAACUUUACUAGGAA